rnacentral:rRNA from 1 species
UACGUAGGGGGCAAGCGUUAUCCGGAUUCACUGGGUGUAAAGGGAGCGUAGACGGCGACGCAAGUCUGGAGUGAAAGCCCGGGGCCCAACCCCGGGACUGCACUGGAAACUGCGGCGCUGGAGUACGGGAGGGGCAGGCGGAAUUCCUGGUGUAGCGGUGAAAUGCGUAGAUAUCAGGAGGAACACCGGCGGCGAAGGCGGCCUGCUGGACCGUGACUGACGUUGAGGCUCGAGAGCGUGGGGAGCAAACAGG